UGCCUGACAGAAGCUUUGGUGGAUCA
rnacentral:piRNA from 1 species